GAAAAUGUACUAUGAAACUGUGUAAACAUCUCAGUUCAGAAGAGACGCUGCUGUGUGUGUUUCACUGCGAGAGCUGAUUAUGACCGACUUCAGUGCUGGAGUGAAUGUGGACCCUCUUCUGCUCAUCAAGGAAACAGAUGCAGAUGGAGUGUAGAAUAGAAACAACGCAUGCAGAAAACUGCUGGAGCUUCAGAAACCACAGACCAGCAAAAAACAGCAGGACUGAGAGAGAAAUGGAGGACAGAAAUAAAACACUAACCAGUGAAUCACAAGAGAAAGGCAGAGAGAUUUGUUAGAUGUGAGAGCAUGGGGAAAAUAAAGCCAGACCUCUCUUGUGAAGACCUGAACAUUAUCCUUCAUCACAACAGCUCUUGGACUCGGUUUCAGACUCGUCUGAUCACAAACAAACAGACUCAUGAACAGAUUUUCUCUCAGAUCUGUGUCUCAAUCCUGCUCUGAUGCACUUUACUGACAACAUUCUGCAUCAACACUCAAUCUCUGCUUCUGCCGUGUUUCACUCAGUAUUCUGCACUGCCUCACAUAUUUAUGACUGCAAUAUUCUGCAUUUCUCGUCUACAUUUCAUUCAUCAUGUAUAUUUAGUAUUUAUGUGUUUAUAUUUUAAUACAGUUCAUAGAUUCUAUAUUUCUCUAUAUAUUUUGUAUAACUCUGUACUAUUUUACAUGCAUUUAUUACUCAU